UACAGAGACUGCAAGCGUUAUUCGGAUUCACUGGGCGUAAAGGGUGCGCAGGCGGUCGGGUGUGUCAGAUGUGAAAUCCCGAGGCUCAACCUCGGAACUGCGUCUGAAACUACUCGACUAGAGUACUGGAGAGGGAAACGGAAUUCACGGUGUAGCAGUGAAAUGCGUAGAUAUCGUGGGGAACACCAGAGGCGAAGGCGGUUUCCUGGACAGUUACUGACGCUCAGGCACGAAAGCAUGGGGAGCAAAAAGGG
rnacentral:rRNA from 1 species